UGUAGAAGGAACUNCGGCAGGCCUUCACGUGCAAAACGAACGGUAACAUGAGAGCUUGCUCUUGAUGACGAGUGGCGCACGGGUGCGUAACGCGUAUGCAAUCUACCUAUAACUGAGGGAUAGCCCAGAGAAAUUUGGAUUAAUACCUCAUAAUAAUAUUUUUUGGCAUCAUUAAAUAUUUAAAACUCCGGUGGUUAUAGAUGAGCAUGCGUUCUAUUAGUUUGUUGGUGAGGUAAAAGCUCACCAAGACUACGAUAGAUAGGGGGCCUGAAAGGGUGAUCCCCCACACUGGUACUGAGACACGGACCAGACUCCUACGGGAGGCAGCAGUGAGGAAUAUUGCACAAUGGAGGAAACUCUGAUGCAGCCAUGCCGCGUGCAGGAUGACGGCCCUACGGGUUGUAAACUGCUUUUUUA
rnacentral:rRNA from 1 species